rnacentral:rRNA from 1 species
GAUGAACGCUGGCGGCGUGCCUAAUACAUGCAAGUCGAGCGAAUGGAUUAAGAGCUUGCUCUUAUGAAGUUAGCGGCGGACGGGUGAGUAACACGUGGGUAACCUGCCCAUAAGACUGGGAUAACUCCGGGAAACCGGGGCUAAUACCGGAUAACAUUUUGAACCGCAUGGUUCGAAAUUGAAAGGCGGCUUCGGCUGUCACUUAUGGAUGGACCCGCGUCGCACUAGCUAGUUGGUGAGGUAACGGCUCACCUAGGCAACGAUGCGUAGCCGACCUGAGAGGGUGAUCGGCCACACUGGGACUGAGACACGGCCCAGACUCCUACGGGAGGCAGCAGUAGGGAAUCUUCCGCAAUGGACGAAAGUCUGACGGAGCAACGCCGCGUGAGUGAUGAAGGCUUUCGGGUCGUAAAACUCUGUUGUUAGGGAAGGACAAGUGCUAGUUGAAUAAGCUGGCACCUUGACGGUACCUAACCAGAAAGCCACGGCUAACUACGUGCCAGCCGCCGCGGUAAGAC